UAGGGAAUCUUCCACAAUGGACGCAAGUCUGAUGGAGCAACGCCGCGUGAGUGAAGAAGGUUUUCGGACCGUAAAGCUCUGUUGUUGGUGAAGAAGGAUAGAGGUAGUAACUGGCCUUUAUUUGACGGUAAUCAACCAGAAAGUCACGGCUAACUACGUGCCAGCAGCCGCGGUAAUACGUAGGUGGCAAGCGUUGUCCGGAUUUAUUGGGCGUAAAGCGAGCGCAGGCGGAAGAAUAAGUCUGAUGUGAAAGCCCUCGGUUUAACCGAGGAAUUGCAUCGGAAACUGUUUUCUUGAGUGCAGAAGAGGAGAGUAGAACUCCAUGUGUAGCGGUGGAAUGCGUAGAUAUAUGGAAGAAUACCAGUGGCGAAGGCGGCUCUCUGGUCUGCAACUGACGCUGAGGCUCGAAAGCAUGGGUAGCGAACAGGAUUAGAUACCCUGGUAGUCCAUGCCGUAAACGAUGAGUGCUAAGUGUUGGGAGGCUUCCGCCUCUCAGUGCUGCAGCUAACGCAUUAAGCACUCCGCCUGGGGGAGUACGACCGCAAGGUUGAAAC
rnacentral:rRNA from 1 species